rnacentral:rRNA from 1 species
UACGGAGGAUGCAAGCGUUAUCCGGAUUUACUGGGCGUAAAGCGUCCGCAGGCGGUUUUCCAAGUCUGUUGUUAAAGCGCGAGGCUUAACCUCGUACAGGCAGUGGAAACUGGAUGACUAGAGUAUGGUAGGGGUAGCGGGAAUUCCCAGUGUAGCGGUGAAAUGCGUAGAUAUUGGGAAGAACACCGGCGGCGAAAGCGCGCUACUGGGCCAUUACUGACACUCAUGGACGAAAGCUAGGGGAGCGAAAGGG